CCUACGGGAGGCAGCAGUGGGGAAUAUUGCACAAUGGGGGAAACCCUGAUGCAGCGACGCCGCGUGAGGGAUGAAGUAUUUCGGUAUGUAAACUUCUGUCAGCAGGGAAGAAAAUGACGGUACCUGACUAAGAAGCCCCGGCUAACUACGUGCCAGCAGCCGCGGUAAUACGUAGGGGGCAAGCGUUAUCCGGAUUUACUGGGGGUAAAGGGAGCGUAGAAGGUAUGGCAAGUCAGAUGUGAAAGCCCGGGGCUCAACCCCGGGACUGCAUUGGAAACUGCCUAACUAGAGUGUCGGAGAGGCAAGUGGAAUUCCGAGUGUAGCGGUGAAAUGCGUAGAUAUCAGGAGGAACACCAGUGGCGAAGGCGGCUUGCUGGACGAUAACUGACGUUGAGGCUCGAAAGCGUGGGGAGCAAACAGGAUUAGAUACCCUUGUAGUC
rnacentral:rRNA from 1 species